rnacentral:rRNA from 1 species
GUGCUCCACCGCGACAUCAAGGCCAGCAACAUCAUGCUCGACCCGGCCUUCCGCGGCCGCCUCGGCGACUUCGGCCUCGCGCGGGUCGUCGGCUUAGACAAGAACUCCUUCACCGACAUCGGCGUCGCGGGCACCUGGGGCUUCAUCGCGCCGGAGUACCCCGUCAGCCACAAGGCCACCCGGCAGACCGACGUCUACGCGUUCGGGGUGCUGGUCCUCGAGGUCGUCACCGGCAGGAGGUCCCUCGGCAAAGCGGACGACGAGUUCCCGCUGCUGGUCGAUUGGGUUUGGUGGCUCCAUCAAGAGGGGAGGCUGCUGGACGCGGGGUUGGACGCCGACGAUGCCGCCCGGCUGCUGCUCCUUGGCCUGUCAUGCAGCAACCCGAACCCAUCGGACCGGCCGACCCUGGCCAACGUGCUGCAGGUUGUCGCGAAGACGGCGCCGCUGCCGGACGUGCCGCUGGUGAAGCCCGCGUUUGUGUGGCCGCCGGAGGGGGCGUUACUGGACGACGACGUUGAUGAUGGUUUUGCGGGGACGAGCCGUGAUGAUUCUCGGUACUGGGAGGAGGAGACCAUGCCGAGCUUCAUGUCGUCGGAGAUCACCAAGCGCAGCCACUCCGCAGAUUCUGGGAGGCGAUGGAUUGCCGAACAGGGCCUUAAAUACGUAUAA